rnacentral:rRNA from 1 species
UGGGGAAUAUUGGGCAAUGGGCGAAAGCCUGACCCAGCAACGCCGCGUGAAGGAAGAAGGCCUUCGGGUUGUAAACUUUUGUCCUAUGGGACGAAACAAAUGACGGUACCAUAGGAGGAAGCCCCGGCUAACUACGUGCCAGCAGCCGCGGUAAUACGUAGGGGGCAAGCGUUGUCCGGAAUUACUGGGCGUAAAGGGUGCGUAGGCGGCAAUACAAGUCAGAUGUGAAAGACCGGGGCUCAACCCCGGGGUUGCAUUUGAAACUGUGUUGCUUGAGUGCAGGAGAGGUAAGUGGAAUUCCUAGUGUAGCGGUGAAAUGCGUAGAUAUUAGGAGGAACACCAGUGGCGAAGGCGACUUACUGGACUGUAACUGACGCUGAGGCACGAAAGCGUGGGGAGCAAACA